rnacentral:misc_RNA from 1 species
UUUCCGUAGGUGAACCUGCGGAAGGAUCAUUAAUACAAAACAUACAACCUAUGUUUGUCUAUUUGCCAUGAAAGCGAGAGCAAACAAGUGUUCUUUCUUCCCUCCAUUUAAAAACAAAAUGAACCACAGGGUAAAUCCUUAAUUGGGCUGAUCGGAAUUGAACUUACAAUAUCAAACAAACUCUAAAUUCAAUAUUUAAUGUACACUUAGAAUUUCCGAUAAAUCCAAAAAUACAACUUUCAUAAACACAUAUAUUUUAUCUCUCAAAAAUAAAAAAAAAUGUUUGCAGUGUUUUACUUUGAUUGAAAAUAAUAAUAGAACAAUCCAGACUCUUUGAUUGCCUUUGUCCCAAAAGAUCAAGUACCACCCAGUGCCCUCUUAAAGAUCCUUAACUUCCCUAUGAGCACCAGAGCGUGAGUCUAACUUUAGCGUUUUCAGUAUGACGCAUAAAACACAACACAAACAUUGUAUGCAGUUUAGAAUGUAUUUAACGUAUCUGAUAUAACAAAACAAAUACAACUUUCAACAACGGAUCUCUUGGCUCUC